AUGUCGCAACAUUAUGGGCGUUUAAUUUUGACAAUUGAAAAUUUUAAAUUUGGAAAAAUCAAUUUUAAAAUUAUCAAGGAAGACUUCAGGAAAGCAGCACAGAACGCCAUCAACGCCGGUUUCGACGGCGUGGAGAUCCAAGGCGGCAAUGGUUACCUCAUCGAGCAGUUCCUCAAGGACAAUGCCAACGACCGGGACAACGGCUAUGGCGGUAGCCUGGAGAACCGGUGCCACUUUGCGCUCGAGGUGAUGGAUGCCGUCGCCAAGGAGAUUGCCCUCGUCGACGGCCGGCGGGUGGUCCCGCACCGGCUGCUGCCCUACAAGGAGGCCUUCAAGGGCACCUUUAUCGCGAAUGGCGGGUUCGACCGGGAGGAGGGGGACAAGGCAAUCGCAUCGGGGUACGCCGACCUCGUCUCAUUCAGGCGACUCUUCAUGGCGAACCCAAACCUACUAAAGAGGCUAGAGCUCAAUGCGCCGCUCAACAAGUACAAUAAGAUGACGCUCUACAUCUCCGAUCCCGUCGUCGGCUACACGGACUACCCGUUUCUUCCUUGA
rnacentral:rRNA from 1 species